rnacentral:rRNA from 1 species
UACAUGUGGGGCAAGCGUUGUUCGGAAUUACUGGGCAUAAAGAGCGUGUAGGCGGUCCGGUAAGUCCGCUGUGAAAGUCGGGGGCUCAACCCUCGAAUGCCGGUGGAUACUGUCGGGCUAGAGUGCGGAAGAGGCGAGUGGAAUUCCUGGUGUAGCGGUGAAAUGCGCAGAUAUCAGGAGGAACACCUAUUGCGAAGGCAGCUCGCUGGGACGUAACUGACGCUGAGACGCGAAAGCGUGGGGAGCAAACAGG